UACGUAGGGGGCAAGCGUUGUCCGGAUUUAUUGGGCGUAAAGAGCGUGUAGGCGGUUAGGUAGGUCCGUUGUGAAAACUCGAGGCUCAACCUCGAGACGCCGAUGGAAACCCCCUAACUAGAGUCCGGAAGAGGAGAGUGGAAUUCCUGGUGUAGCGGUGAAAUGCGCAGAUAUCAGGAAGAACACCCGUGGCUAAGGCGGCUCUCUAGUACGGUACUGACGCUGAAACGCGAAAGCGUGGGGAGCGAACAGG
rnacentral:rRNA from 1 species